AAUGGACGAAAGUCUGACCGAGCAACGCCGCGUGAGUGAAGAAGGUUUUCGGAUCGUAAAACUCUGUUGUUAGAGAAGAACAAGGAUGAGAGUAACUGUUCAUCCCUUGACGGUAUCUAACCAGAAAGCCACGGCUAACUACGUGCCAGCAGCCGCGGUAAUACGUAGGUGGCAAGCGUUGUCCGGAUUUAUUGGGCGUAAAGCGAGCGCAGGCGGUUUCUUAAGUCUGAUGUGAAAGCCCCCGGCUCAACCGGGGAGGGUCAUUGGAAACUGGGAGACUUGAGUGCAGAAGAGGAGAGUGGAAUUCCAUGUGUAGCGGUGAAAUGCGUAGAUAUAUGGAGGAACACCAGUGGCGAAGGCGGCUCUCUGGUCUGUAACUGACGCUGAGGCUCGAAAGCGUGGGGAGCAAA
rnacentral:rRNA from 1 species